rnacentral:rRNA from 1 species
GGAGGGUGCAAGCGUUGUUCGGAAUUAUCGGGCGUAAAGCGCGUGUAGGCGGUUAGGUAAGUCAGAUGUGAAAGCCUUCUGCUUAACAGAAGAAGUGCAUUUGAAACUGCCUGGCUAGAGUACGGGAGAGGAGAGUGGAAUUCCCGGUGUAGAGGUGAAAUUCGUAGAUAUCGGGAGGAACACCAGUGGCGAAGGCGGCUCUCUGGUCCGAUACUGACGCUGAGACGCGAAAGCGUGGGGAGCAAACAGGAUUAGAUACCCUGGUAGUCCACGCCGUAAACGAUGGGCACUAGGUGUAGGAGGUAUUGACCCCUUCUGUGCCGAAGCUAACGCAUUAAGUGCCCCGCCUGGGGAGUACGGCCGCAAGGCUA